rnacentral:rRNA from 1 species
UACAGAGGUCUCAAGCGUUGUUCGGAUUCAUUGGGCGUAAAGGGUGCGUAGGCGGCGCGGUAAGUCGGGUGUGAAAUCUCGGAGCUUAACUCCGAAACUGCAUUCGAUACUGCCGUGCUUGAGGACUGGAGAGGAGACUGGAAUUUACGGUGUAGCGGUGAAAUGCGUAGAUAUCGUGAAGGAAGACCAGUGGCGAAGGCGGGUCUCUGGACAGUUCCUGACGCUGAGGCACGAAGGCCAGGGGAGCAAACGGG